GCAAAUUCUUGGCUCAGAGGUUCCCCCAUGUCCUCUUCUACCAGCAUCCAUGCAAAAAGAACACGGGUCUUUGCACACUGCCACAUGCAGAGCAAAGACAGCACUGGGAGAGGCAGGGUGAUAAGAAGCCCAGUUUAAUGCUUUCUCACACCUAGAUUAAGGAGCAGUGCAGGCUCAAACUGAGACAAACCCCCAUCUUCUCCCCAAGACCAACUGUCUCCCUGAUGCCAAGAUUCUGUUCCUGUAUUUACUCUCUCAUUUUUGAAAGAAUUCGCAGAUGACAGAAAAGUGAAGUUAUUGGUCCCACUGCAGAUAGAAGCAUGUGAUUCUGCUGUCCGUGAAACAACAGCAUGGUUCUUCUGUAAUGGAGGAAGGAGUGACUGACAUUAGAACACCCAAGACAACAGGUCCAGAGAAGGAUUUGCCAAAGGAAUCUGGUAGUGACCAGUAAGAAUGAAGAGAGAAACAAACCUUUUCUGAUUAUAGAGAUGGACUUGGAAGAUCUGGCUCAGGGCUGGCAUUGGGUAACAUCAGAGACUCAGGUCUAAAACCACAUACUCGGCCCUUAACCCACGUCAUUCUCACAUCCAUAGCAAAGGUUCAUUGUUCUCUUUUGGUUUGGGUAUUUUUUCAGAGCUCUCAGUCGGGCUGUUACUUCCUCUUGCUUCUCUCAUCUCCCACAGCUGAACACUUUGGGCCACGCUGAUCCUGCCCAGUGGCCACUUCAGUCCAUUUUCUCCCAUUCUUGAAAUUUAUGGUCAUUUUUGCCUUAUUCGUUUGAUAAGAAAUGGAUAUUUGGAAUUCAAACAAAACUUUCUGACUCGGAUAUUCCACAGCGAGGCAAUAUCAGCAUGCACUGACAUCUAUAUUAGCAGCAAGGUGAAGGACUCUGUUUUGGAAGAAAAUCAAAGAGAACAAACAAACAUAACCCCCCCAAGGAAACAAAACUCACUGCUUUUGAAGUUAAAGCAAACACUGCUGUUUGCCAGUGACACACAUGCUUGCUGACCAGCAAACAGCCAGGAGAGAUG
rnacentral:lncRNA from 1 species